UACCCMUAGCAAAUCUCAAAAAACCGUCUCAGUUCGGAUUGGACUCUGCAACUCGAGUCCAUGAAGUUGGAAUCGCUAGUAAUCGUGGAUCAGCAUGCCACGGUGAAUACGUUCCCGGGCCUUGUACACACCGCCCGUCACACCAUGGGAGUUGGUUUUACCUGAAGGCGGUGCGCUAACCCGCAAGGGAGGCAGCCGACCACGGUAGGGUCAGCGACUGGGGUGAAG
rnacentral:rRNA from 1 species